CUGAUGCAGGAUGACUUUCUACACGGCACUCUCCAGGAUGCUGACUGCACCAGCUUUAAAGAAAUCAGAAUAACAUGGAAAAACUAGCUAAAAUUCUUAUAAAGUUCCCUGAAAUUUUCCAGAUUCAUUGUCCACUUUUCACAGAAGCCCUGGACCCAGGAAAACAUACAAUUCAGGCUGCACAUGGGUGAAAAGACAAAUACUUAGAGGAGACAGACCAACAGACUGUGCUGACAACAUCUGCUGUGGAUUCCAGGCCCAGAUUUUCCUCAAACUAGAACACAUUCUGAACAGUGAUGUCGCAAAACUGGCUGACUACUUCAAGAUAUGGUGCCUCUAGCCAAGCAUCAGUGUAUAGAGUUCAACAACUUCACCUGAUAACCUUCAGUUGGCUUCAUUUACUCCCAAGUGUGUGGUCCUCUCCUUCCAGUUUCCCCCAAACUGUAGAAUUUUUGCAUGCUUGUAACUGCUUUUAAUGAUUACCCAGUUCAAGCAAUUACUCUAAUGUAUUGCAAGAAGACAAAACAAGGGCAGGCCUAAGAUGUACCUCUAUAGAGUAAACAGUACAGUACAAAGACCCAAUACUGCCUCACUUGAAAUCAAGGGAAAAUUACCCCAAUUUCAGAUUUGUGUUACUACAUUUCAAAAGUUUCCAUGUGACUGAAGGACUGUGAUAAACUUUAAAAAAAAAAAAAAAAAAGCCCCCCCCCCUCCUCCCUUGCCCAAAGUUUACUGCACAUCCAUUAGACUACUUCAAAAAACACACACUUGGAAGUGCAAUUGCCAUGAGUACAAACAUUCAAUGUUUUGUUUUUUACAAUCUUCUAACAAUGUUUUGGUAAACAGUGUAUUGUCCUGGGCGGUGGGAUCAGGGCUCCACUGCCUGUCCUGCAAACACACGCCUCCAGUUGGCUGGAAGUACUAGGGCUCCAGCCAUUUAACCAUUAAAAAAAAGAAUUGAUGGAUUAUUGAUACAGUACCAAGUAACUUGUGAUCCUAAGUCAUCCUUUCUGGGAUAUGAGCUGGCAAAUGGGACUACCUGACUGCUUCCACUCACUAGCUUGCAAAAUUCUUUAUAGAUUUUAGGAAAUCUAUGGGUUCAGAAGGGAAAAAUCAAAACACUAUUUCUUUUGCAGACAGCAGAUUGGGAGGACAGAGAGUGUUUCCUCUCCUCCCAUUGAAGAAUGUGAAGUUUUUCCUAAGGGGACACAGUGUCUAUGAUAUUCCAAGAGGAUUUUUUAUUUUAUUGGGGGGUUGCUCUAGGAAGGGAAUACUACAUUAAGGCUUGCAAGACCAUUGGAUAUUAUUAUUUAUGUAGCCAAGGCAAGCAACAACUGAACAACAGUAACUAAUAAAACAAACAAUUUGGAAGCUUGACAAAAAAAGCUAGCUGCCCUACAUAUGUACCUAUGAGAUUCUCAACUGCCUACCUCAAACUCUAACAGACUUUCUGAACCAGCUUUCUCUCAAAUGCAUAUGGCUCCAACCCAUUACUCAAAGUGACCAGGAUUAUUAGAAAUUAUCUUUAAGACAAGAGAACAGAGAAACAUUCUGCUUCUUUAUGGACCAUUGAAUGUAUCCAAGGUUUCUGGGACUUCACAUUUAUCAGCUGGAGGGCUUCUGGUCCUGCAUCCUAUAUUGAGCACAGGCAGCCUAAGUGCAUCUCACAGUCUAUUUUACACAUGCAUUUGGCCUCCACCGCCAAGUCAGAAAGCAGUGAUGCUACAUUUUGGUAUACAUAGGUGUGUGAUGUAAAUUUUGGGUAUGUUCGAGUACAUUUUUACUUCCAUUAGGAAACUUGCCCAUAGCCAGAAGUCAGUGCAGAGUGCUGAAGACAAGUUAACUGUGAGCAGAAGCAACAUGGCAGCAGACCUACAUAUAGCACUUGCUCACCUGCACCCGUGACAAUACGCAUUAAGAGAAAUUAAGCAAUAAUAAGUUUUCUUUGUGUGGAUGGAUCUCUGCUAGCCAGAGAGAGAACGAGGGCGGGCCUGGGGACAGAGGCUUCUCUGAUUCUUGUUCGUGACAGCCCAGGGGUGGGGCUGGCCCAGCACUCAAGCAGACCACAUGAGCUCUGGCCAAGGCUAGAGUGCCACUCUGGAGAUGGGGAGGGGGUGAGCAGGUGCCGCAAAGCCCCAUGGAUUGCUGAUGAAAUGCAACCUACCAUGAGUCAGGAUGGGAUGUAGUACAAAUGUUCAUUACAGUGCUCUAACCUACAGAACUGAAGUCUGAAGGUUAUCUUUGAGGAGUAGCCACCAUUUUGACAGUGCUCUAUAUGCCCUGACUGUUCAGUUAUAGCUGUAGAGAGCUUUCUGCAUGCUUACUGACAUAAAUGUAACUUUUUUACCUGGUCAAAAUUAUAACAUUGCCCCAAAACAGCAUAUUUGACUAAUUAUUCAACAGAGGAAAUGAGGAUGCUGUAAGUGGCUGUAAAUGGCUGCAUCUACAGAAACAUUCAUCUAUAUUAUCAUAAUUGAACUUACAUGUAAAUGUGGCAAGUGGAAAAGCAGCAGUGAACAUUGCUUUCACAAGCAAGGUGUACAAGGUGUCCCAUCAUCUCUCAUUUGCUUUUUUGUUUUGCUUUACUGGGGAAGUCUGAAUGUCUCACUAAAAAAAAAAAAAGUAUGAAGGACACAUCUGAAGUAAAUGGUAAAAUUAGACUCUCCCAGCUGGCACUCUAAGUUUGAGCUCUGUCAGAACCAAUGCUAACACAGUGCAAUAUUCAUAGUAAGGUAGCUGCCUCAUAUGCAUAGUCUGAAUCAUUCAUAGGGAAGCAGUAUGAUAGCCAGAUUAAGACUUGUAACACUUUGAAGGAACCAAAAAAACCCAAACAAACAAACAAAAUACCCAAAACAAAACAGUAAGAGUUUGCUUUGUUUAAUACUAGUAUCUUUUAGGACUGCAUGUUCUACUUUCUCCACUAAACAGCCUGGAAGGAGAUCAAUGACCCUUAAAGCUGCAUGAUCCUGGUAACGACUUUUCUGGGAGACAGUCAGCUACAGAGAGAAAGAGCACAGGACAAGGCUACCAAUAACCGGAGAGAACUACCAUGUAAAGAACUGGCCAAGUUCUGCCAGUCACAUGCUCUAUCAGGCACCAUAGAUGUUUGGCAGCAUAGCAGCUUGCAACUGUGUGUGCUGCUAUUGAUCCACUUCCCACUGACUAGCAGUACAUCACCAGGGACUGCUAAACAUUGAAGGCAACCAUGAUGAACUAAUUUACCAGUCCCCUCAUUCUCAUGAGAUUUACUUUCACUGCACCUUAAAUAUCUACAGAAGCUGAACAUGACAUUUUAGAUAUUUGUGAAUUUCUGAUAUUGGUGAUUGAAUAUAUAAAAAUACACAUUCAGCAACCUUAUUUUGGUAUAAGAUAUUCAGUAAAGUACUGGUGUUUUAGACAGUUUAAUUUGGCUUGGAGUCUGCUGGGUCAGCAGGAGAAACCAAUUACACAGCUGAGGUAGUCACUAGACAAUUAAAUCUAGGGAUUGCUGGCUUGGCUGUCCCAGCUAAUCUCAACAGCUGCAGUUGUACACAAAAAGAAAAGCAAAUAGGCUUUCUAUCUGUAGAAUCAACCUAGCAGUAAAGAAAGCCAGUGCAGACCCUAAGGAACUGUGGGCUGUGCACCUUUGAUCAAAACAACUAACCAGUUGGACAUUUGCAUUCUGCACUAGUGGGAACUCUGCAGUGAUCUUCAAAGGCAGACUUUUAUUUAGAAGCCAUAAAAGGAUGAAUAACAAAGUGUUAGCUCAAUACCUGUCCUUAUCUUUAAAAGACCUCAGGAAUAUAACAUUGUAAUAUUCAAGUCUUCAUAUUGAUUUCACUUAACCUAUUUUAAUAUGUUUUAAUGUUUAUUGUAGUUAGGAUCUUAAUAAAACUGACCUGAGCUUCA